GAUGAACGCUGGCGGCGUGCCUAAUACAUGCAAGUCGAGCGAACAGACGAGGAGCUUGCUCCUCUGACGUUAGCGGCGGACGGGUGAGUAACACGUGGAUAACCUACCUAUAAGACUGGGAUAACUUCGGGAAACCGGAGCUAAUACCGGAUAAUAUAUUGAACCGCAUGGUUCAAUAGUGAAAGACGGUUUUGCUGUCACUUAUAGAUGGAUCCGCGCCGCAUUAGCUAGUUGGUAAGGUAACGGCUUACCAAGGCAACGAUGCGUAGCCGACCUGAGAGGGUGAUCGGCCACACUGGAACUGAGACACGGUCCAGACUCCUACGGGAGGCAGCAGUAGGGAAUCUUCCGCAAUGGGCGAAAGCUUGACGGAGCAACCCCGCGUGAGUGAUGAAGGUCUUCGGAUCGUAAAACUCUGUUAUUAGGGAAGAACAAAUGUGUAAGUAACUAUGCACGUCUUGACGGUACCUAAUCAGAAAGCCACGGCUAACUACGUG
rnacentral:rRNA from 1 species